CAGUCGUGCGCCUCCAAGCUAUGAUGGAGACGCGGCGUACAGCUCAGUAACACGUGGCUAACCCACCCUUGAGACGGAGACAACCCCGGGAAACUGGGGCUAAUCCCUGAUAGGAGAAGACACCUGGAAGGGGUCUUCUCCCAAAAGACGCUUAGAUCAUGCUUCUAGACGUCGCUCAAGGACGGGGCCGCGGCCGAUCAGGUUGUUGGUGAGGCAAUGGCUCACCAAGCCUAUAACCGGUACGGGCCGUGAGAGCGGGAGCCCGGAGAUGGGCACUGAGACAAGGGCCCAGGCCCUACGGGGCGCAGCAGUUGCGAAAACUCCGCAAUGCGCGAAAGUGUGGCGGGGCUACCCCGAGUGCCGUCCGCUGAGGGCGGCUUUUCCCCGGUGUAAGGAGCCGGGGGAAUAAGGAGAGGGCAAGUCUGGUGUCAGCCGCCGCGGUAAUACCAGCUCUCCGAGUGGUAGGGAUGAUUAUUGGGCUUAAAGCGUCCGUAGCCGGCCUAGCAAGUCUUCCGUUAAAUCCACCGAUUCAAUCGUUGGACUGCGGGAGAUACUGUUGGGCUAGGGGGCGGGAGAGGCCGACGGUAUUCUCGGGGUAGGGGUAAAAUCCUAUAAUCCCGGGAGGACCACCAGUGGCGAAGGCGGUCGGCUAGAACGCGCUCGACGGUGAGGGACGAAAGCUGGGGGAGCGAACCGGAUUAGAUACCCGGGUAGUCCCAGCUGUAAACGAUGCGGGCUAGGUGUU
rnacentral:rRNA from 1 species